GGGUAUAUGGGCUCAGUGGUUAAGAGCAGUUGCUACUCUUGCAAUGAACCUGGGUUCAAUUUCCAGCACCCA
rnacentral:tRNA from 1 species